GACGAACGCUGGCGGCGUGCUUAACACAUGCAAGUCGAACGGCAAGGCCCUGCUUUUGUGGGGUGACCGAGUGGCGAACGGGUGCGUAACACGUGUGUAACCUGCCCUUGACUUUGGGAUAACUUCAGGAAACUGGGGAUAAUACAGGACAGGAGCUUCUGCAGCAGGGUGGGGGUUGGAAAGUCUCGGCGGUUGGGGAUGGACUCGCGGCUUAUCAGAUUGUUAGUCGGGUAGUGGCUUACCAAGGCUUUGAAGGGUAGCCGGCCUGAGAGGGUGACCGGCCUCAGGGAGACUGAGAGAGUGCCCAGACUCCUACGGUAGGCAGCAGUGGGAAAUAUUGCACAAUGGGCGGAAGCCUGAUGCAGCAACUCCGCGUGCGGGAUGACAGCCUUCCGGUUGUAAAACGCGUUCGCCUGUGACGAAGCGUUAGUGACGGUAAUGGGUAAAGAAGCACCGGCUAACUACGUG
rnacentral:rRNA from 1 species